CCAUCCUCUUGAGUCUUGAUUGAGGAUUCAUCACCGUUUUCUGUCACAAAUCUGUGUGGAGAAUGUCAGUCGGUUCCUCCGUUCAGCAGAGCAUCAAGCCACACGGAGUUGAUCCCGACGACAGCGGUGAUGACUGGGAGAUCGGUGUGGGGAAUCUAAUCAUCGACCUGGACGCGGAUUUGGAGAAAGAAAGACAGAGAUCGGAGAUGAAUCGCGUUUCGAGCGUUAAAAGCAGCGCGGCGGAAGGUCGUGUGGAGCUCGAGUGCAGUUGCGCGGGUGCAGCGGAUGCGUUUGACGGCCCGAUGAGAGCCGGAGAGCCGCAGCAGGGAUAUCUGUGCAAAGAGCCCAAGAAAUUCAAGCUGAAAAGGCGAAAUUCCUCGAAUGACACUGACAGAUCGCCCUCGCUGGAGAUUCCUAAAGUAUGCGUCGGUAAACGGAGGGAGGCUCAAGGACGCCCCGGAGAGGCUCCAGAGAUGAAUUCAGCACCACCGGCGGUGGACAGCUCCAGCGACGCGACUAAAGGCAAAGACGGCAAGAGAGGGAAGAAUCAAGGCAAAGGGCUGAAAAGAGAGAAAGAAUCCGCCAGGACGCGGAAAGAGAAGCUCGCUGAUGAUUUGGGAUCGCAGUCAGAGAAUGGAUGCGCUGUCGGAGGGACCGAGAAUCUCCUCGGUAGGGGCGGAAUGGACGCGGCUAUUGUCGAACGCACUGACGACACGAACACACCAGAACACGACCUGAAGACGUUGAGUGUUAAGACACGGUCAGUUGGAACAAACACACAAGAAACAGAGAAAACCAUCGAGUCCAGCGACAUGGAGCCAUGCCAACCAGGAACGAGCGUCAAUCUGGAGGGCAUUGUGUGGCAUGAAACAGAAGAAGGGGUUCUAGUUGUGAAUGUCACAUGGAGGAAAAGGACCUAUGUGGGAACACUCUUGGACUGUACCAAGCAUAACUGGGCCCCACCACGGUUUUGUGAGUCACCGAUGAGUGACUCGGACAUGCCCUGUGCGCGUGGACGUGGUAAACGAAUGCGGUUGGCUAUACCAGAUCAACCCGGUGUUGACCCGAGUCUUUCCAAAAUAAGGGGACUAACUCACAAGAGACGUGGCGUGGGAAUCGGCAACAAAGGAAGGCGAGGGAGUCUGAACCUCACCGGCUGUAGAACACCUGGAUACUAUGGCGUCGAGGACAAUCUACUUACAUGUGGAAAAAGAAAAGGCAAAGCUCUAGCCGAUCUAGAUUUAAGCUUGGUCUCGGAGGACAUUAGGAAUGGAAAUGGAAAAAGGAUGCGAGCCAAAUCCAGGAGCGCUCCAUCCACCCCACAGGGUAAAUCCGACCCAGUGUUUCUUGAUCAAGUUUGUGGAUCCCCGAUGCUAAUAGACUGUCCGCAUCCAAACUGUAACAAGAAGUACAAACACAUCAAUGGGCUCCGAUACCACCAGUCUCAUGCUCACUUGAACAGCGAAAGCAAGCAAGAGUUUGAGGUGGAGAGCGAGGACAGACUCUCUGAUUUUGAUGAUCCACUCAGCUCGGUACCUUUUGAUUCUUCCAUGAAUAUUCUCUCCAAGAAGCCCAGAACCAUGUUUAAACUCAAUUCAAUUGGUUCUCCAAAGAGCAGGAAAGCAUUGCUCAACAACAUUAACAGUCCCAUAGCCAAUGCUAAAUUACGCAGGAACGUGGGGAGUAAGGAUGGCUCUAUAGAUGACCUGAGCAACUUACCGCUCAUUUCAAACAUGUCGGUUGUCCUUGAGAACUGCCUCAUUACGGAUCGUAACACAUCUGUGGAGAUGCCCAAGCUCGAAGCAGAGGGUGCAAUUGAUAAAAGGGACAUCUGUAGCAAAGUUAAAAAGGAUAGUGGCUUCACUGAAAGAUGCUCAGCUAAGUCCCGGACCAACAGAAUCAUUACUGGCGCUCCUGCUCCCCCAAAACUGACUGCGAUUUCACCCGCUGCAUUCUCUGCUAAAGAGGAUUCUUCCCAUCAGAACUCUACAACUGCUGCUCUCACAAAGGCCAAGAAUCUCUCCCUGAAACCCAUCAAGCCAAAGCUGGACAUUAUUGCACAAGUUAACAUGGCCAAUACUCCCACCACCCUGAGUAAAGAGAGUAAGAAAAAGGACAAGAAUCGAUCGAAGGACAGAAAUUGCAAAGAUCCACAGAGUCCUAAAAGCGACCCAAUGUACACAAAAACGGACGAAGCCAAGAGUGUCGGGAAAGACUUCCCUGUAAGCCUCUUGAAAGAGCAUUUGAGCAAACAGGAUGUUGUAAAUUGGCCAGGUGAAUCGCAAGAAAGCCGCAUGGCAAGUAUUAGAGCGGAAGCGGACAAGGUGUACACUUUUUCCGACAACGCACCAAGUCCCUCCAUCGGAAGCUCUGCUAGAAUGGACUGUGGCCCCCUUACAAACGGAGAUGGAGCCACUGCGAAAACAAACAGCCCGGCAUACUCCGACAUAUCAGAUGCCACCGAAGAUGGAGGAUCAAACUCGAGAUCUAGAAGAAACUCGAUGCAUGACUCGAACCCAAACAGCAACAUCAAUCUUAAAAUUCCCUCACUGAAUUCAGCAGUCACAGUAACCCCAGGUAAAGAGGUCCAGUCAACGUCUCACGGCCAUGGAUAUGAAUCUCAUUGUAUGCCCGGGUACAUGCACUCUGGACAAGCAAACUCCUCUUCAUUCCUGAAGGUGGCCUCACAUUAUGGUCGGACAAAGGAUGAACUGAGAGACUUAAAUGAGGAUAUCAAAAGCUCAGAUUCCUCUACUCAAUCACAGCUUCAGUAUCCUGUGAGUGAAACGCACACAGCACUUGCUCAGUCCUUGUACUAUGGGCAGUACAGUCGUGGUGUUUCCAUGGACCAGAAAGUUCUGGUGAUGCCCAGCACCCACAGACAACUCCCUGAAACGUGCUGUGAGGAAAUCCAGUACAGCAAGCAGAGUAGAGGUCAAGUUAGACGUGGAUCUGAGCAGAAAGAGCGAACAAAGGAAGACCAAAAGCAAUUUAUUAAUAAGGGGGCAAACUCAGCCAAAAUGAACUGUACAAAACCCGGGUUUAUCUAUGUGGAAUUGGACAAGCAUCUGUCGUUUCAGCAGCAGCAACAGGGGAAGUCGUCCCAUAUCUCCAUGACAAAAGAUCAAGGGGUUAACAAGGAAUCUGAAGACCUCAGUUUGGAGAGUUCAAACUCCAAAUCAAAUGUGGACACAAAUGUAACAUUUCUAAAUGCUUCAGAAUCUCAGUCCUGGAGCCACUUUUAUCAGUCCAAAUAUGUGAAGCUGCAAAAUCAAGAGGUUAACAAGAUGUCUGAGGAACUGAGUCUCAGUCCAGACAAGGGGAAAGAUUGGCACGUUCCACUGGAGCCAGAGUCCAGACUGGAGACCGAACUCCAGAGCGUCAAGUGUGAGACCGCUGCUGAUGUCACGGAGGACAGUAUCGGACCAGACGGGGACGAGAUGGUGGGAGAAUUAUCUGAAGACUCACAAACCGCAAGAGGGGCUGCAUCAUCACCUCAGCAGUCCUUUAUCCAGUUUCAGCACUCCUACCCGUAUUUACAUCUGUGUGACUCCAGCAGCAGCGCUUACAGAGUGAUGUCUCCAGCUUUAGUGCACAAUUACCCAGGUUUCCAUUACCCUCUAUAUGGAAAAACAGCGGGGAGAGAGGACUCAGAUGGGGCUCAAAGCAGCAAACCAGUGACAGAUUCGACUGCAUUAGAGCUUCUGUCACAUCCUCUCUUGCCUUAUCAUGGCACAUCUCCUGUGCCUGGAGAACGAGGAUCUCCGAAGCAGGACAGAGAAACUGAAAGGGAGAGAAAAGCGGUACCAUUCGGCCGUCACCUUCAGACGCAUCACCUGACUCAACUGGGCAUGAGCUACACGCUGGUGUCGGGCCAGUAUGACCCAUUUCAAGGUGAAAAGGUUUGAACACCGCGGCGCUGGUUGCUAACCAGCAAGUGACGACAACACAGACCUGCUCCAGUGAAAAUGACGGGAAGAUCUGAGAUAUUCCCGACCCACGGACAUCAAUCACAUGGUGUUUCUCAUCGUCUCCAUUGGAGGCAGCGACUAAUUAAUGUCUAACCAAUGAAUGUAUUAAUGAAGAAAGACUGCAGUCCUGUCAGUGGAACUAUAUACUGUACAUACAUGUAUACAUAUAUAUAUAUAUAUAUCUCAGUAUGUGCUGAUUUAUGAUGACAAGCACUGUAUAAACCCUCUCUGCCUGUAAAUGCUUCAUCUAGCUGUUUGUAUGCACUUAUAUAGUUGUGUAAUCAUACUAUUGAAUGUAUUUGCUAUUUCCUCACCUCUGUGUGGUAAAGGACAGUGCGCAAUAGAGUACAAGUGAUGUACGGUGCAAACAUAUUAUCAUGAAUAUACUGUUAUUAACAGCCAUUCAUCUGUUGUAUUGUACACAGUGGACAUUAAGCGACAGAUCAUCUCAUUGCCAUACAGUAUUAUUGUGAUGUAUAUAGAUGUACAUAGUUUAACAAAGCUCAGCAGCGACUAUAACUAGCUUAUGUACCUUUGUAUUGAUUCAGUGCAAUGUAUACGGUUGUCUACCCACCUCACUUACACGGCAGACGUGUUGCUUUGUAACUUCAAUAGUGAUCCAGAACUGAAUCUGUUUUCCCGUCAUUAGGUUACACCAUCAAACUGCUGUUGCUUUUUAUACUGUAUCUGCCUUAAUAUGUUUGGCAAU